AUGAUCGAAAAGUACGAGGAAUGGCUGAAGGAGGAGAAGAACAAGUUUGUCGGCCUCGACCUCGAGUACACACGUAAGACUAGUUACAUACGUCAAGGGAUCCCCGUCGUCCAACUCGCCAUGCACGAGCAUGUCCUUGUAUACCACUACUCCAGGUCCGAGCGCUCCCAGGCGUUACUUGACUUCCUGCAUCGCAAAGUGGUAACUUUCGCUAGCGUCGACACCAGGGGCGACAAGACCAUGCUUGCCCGUGCAUGGAUUAAAAUUUCAGACGAGCACCAUGUCGACAUGCAGAGGCAAUUCUGUAUCAAGGGUGAUGUAGAAAGGGACUCCAUGGGAGACCUUGCAGCGGCCAUCAUCGAUCCUGCCUACAAGAACACAAAGAAAUCAUUCCCAAAAAAGAAGCACCAGUUCUGGGAGGGGAAGCCGCUAUCCCCGUUACACCUUGAGUACGCAGCAAAAGACGGAUAUGUUAGCUAUGAGUUGUACCGUAGAAUCCUAAUCAUCAAGCGCGGGUUACGUCACCUCCACAACAACUAA
rnacentral:rRNA from 1 species